UACGUAGGGGGCUAGCGUUGUCCGGAAUCAUUGGGCGUAAAGAGCGUGUAGGCGGCCCGGUAAGUCCGCUGUAAAAGUCAAAGGCUCAACCUUUGAAUGUCAGUGGAUACUGCCGGGCUAGAGUCCGGAAGAGGCGAGUGGAACUCCUGGUGUAGCGGUGGAAUGCGCAGAUAUCCGGAGGAACACCGGUGGCGAAGGCGGCUUCCUGGACCGACACUGACGCUGAGGCGCGAAGGCCAGGGGAGCAAACGGG
rnacentral:rRNA from 1 species